UGGGGAAUAUUGGACAAUGGGCGAAAGCCUGAUCCAGCAACGCCGCGUGAGGGAUGACGGCCUUCGGGUUGUAAACCUCUUUCAGUAGGGACGAAGCGAAAGUGACGGUACCUACAGAAGAAGGACCGGCCAACUACGUGCCAGCAGCCGCGGUAAUACGUAGGGUCCGAGCGUUGUCCGGAAUUAUUGGGCGUAAAGGGCUCGUAGGCGGUUAGUCACGUCGGGAGUGAAAACUCAGGGCUCAACCCUGAGCGUGCUUCCGAUACGGGCUGACUAGAGGUAUGCAGGGGAGAACGGAAUUCCUGGUGUAGCGGUGGAAUGCGCAGAUAUCAGGAGGAACACCGGUGGCGAAGGCGGUUCUCUGGGCAUUACCUGACGCUGAGGAGCGAAAGCAUGGGGAGCGAACA
rnacentral:rRNA from 1 species